CCCUUAGAUGUUCUGGGCCGCACACGCGCUACACUGAAGGAGGCAGCGUGUACUCCUGGAUCGAAAGAUUUGGGUAACCCGCGAAUCUCCUUCGUGCUAGGGAUUGAGGUUUGCAAUUAUCCUUCAUGAACGAGGAAUUCCCAGUAAGUGCAAGUCAUAAGCUUGCGCUGACUACGUCCCUGCCCUUUGUACACACCGCCCGUCGCUACUACCGAUUGAAUGAUUUAGUGAGGACUCCGGACUGGGACCGAUGCGGCUUUCGGGCUGCGUCGGUAUUCUGGAAAGAUGUCCAAACUGUAUCAUUUAGAGGAAGUAAAAGUCGUAACA
rnacentral:rRNA from 1 species